GAAUGACUCUCGGCAAUGGAUAUCUUGGCUCUUGCAUCGAUGAAGAACGUAGUGAAAUGCGAUACUUGGUGUGAAUUGCAGAAUCUCGUGAACCAUUGAGUCUUUGAACGCAAGUUGUGCCCGAGGCCUUGCGGUCGAGGGCACGCCUGCUUGGGCGUCAUUG
rnacentral:rRNA from 1 species